rnacentral:rRNA from 1 species
UACAGAGGUGGCAAGCGUUUGUUCGGAAUUACUGGGCGUAAAGGGCGCGUAGGCGGCCUUCUAAGUCAGACGUGAAAUCCCUCGGCUUAACCGGGGAACUGCGUCUGAUACUGGAUGGCUUGAGUUUGGGAGAGGGAUGCGGAAUUCCAGGUGUAGCGGUGAAAUGCAUAGAUAUCUGGAGGAACACCGGUGGCGAAGGCGGCAUCCUGGACCAAUACUGACACUGAGGAGCGAAAGCCAGGGGAGCAAACGGG